rnacentral:rRNA from 1 species
GAUGAACGCUGGCGGCGUGCUUAACACAUGCAAGUCGAACGAUGAAGCCCAGCUUGCUGGGUGGUUUAGUUGCGAACGGGUGAGUAACUCGUGAGUAACCUGCCCUUAUCUCUGGCAUAAGCCUGGGAAACUGGGUCUAGUACCUGCUAGGAGCUACUACCACCUGGAUGGUUCUGGAAAGAUUCAUCGGUUUUGGGUGGACUCGAGGCCUAUCCGCUCGUCGGUGAGGUAUUGGCUCCCAAAGGCGACGCCGAGUAGCCGGCCUGGGAGGGAGACAGGCUCCAGAGGGCCAGGGGAGCGGGCCAGAGUGCUACGGGAGGCAGGAGUGAAGAACAGAGGACACAGGGCGCAAGCAUGAUGCAGCGACGCCGGGUGAGGGAUGUCGGCUUUCGGGUUGUAAAACACUUUCAGGAGGGAAGAAGCGACAGUGACGGUACCUGCAGGAGAAGCACCGGCUAAUUACGU